AGGAUAGUACCAAAGGAGUACUUACUGUUACAAUAACUUUUUUUUCUUUCUUUCUAUGUUGUGUGCUAUAGGUGCACUUUUGGAAAGACAACUCCAGAUGAAAUUCAAAUGAACAGAAGAGAAGGGGACUAACGCAAGAGAAAGGGGCCGUGACUUCCAUAAAAUCAGCCAGCAGCUCAGUGACACAGGCACCAUUGUUUCUUCCUUCUUAUGUAUUGAGAACCAGACUGGAAGUAAUCCAAGCAGCUCCUUUUUAGCCUGAAGUAGUGAAAUAGUACUGUCUGUGGACCCACAUCAGAAUUGAGAUAACAACUCCCUUGUGCAUGGCCUUGUUCAGUUACAGUCACAGACUGUCAUAAACCCUGCUCUCAAGGUAUGUACAGUUUGAAUACUCAUGAUGGAUAAGAAGUGGGGAAUGAAGCUAAAUUAUUUAGGU
rnacentral:lncRNA from 1 species